GCCGAUGUAGCUCAGUUGGUAGAGCAAUCCCUUCGUAAGGGAAAGGUCAUCAGUUCAAUUCUGAUCAUCGGCU
rfam:Parcubacteria bacterium GW2011_GWA2_36_24 TS12_C0025, whole genome shotgun sequence.